rnacentral:rRNA from 1 species
CCCUUAGAUGUUCUGGGCCGCACGCGCGCUACACUGACGAAGUCAGCGAGCAUGUCCUACGCCGACAGGUGCGGGGAAUCUUGUCAAACUUCGUCGUGAUGGGGAUUGAUUAUUGAAAUUCUUGAUCAUCAACGAGGAAUUCCUAGUAAGCGCAAGUCAGCAGCUUGCGUUGAUUACGUCCCUGCCCUUUGUACACACCGCCCGUCGCACCUACCGAUUGAAUGGUCCGGUGAAAUCUUCGGACCGUGACUUUGAUUUGUUUACUCAAAACGCUGUUACGGGAAGUUGAUUAAACCUUACCAUUUAGAGGAAGGUGAAGUCGUAACA